GUAGGGGGCAAGCGUUGUUCGGAAUUACUGGGCGUAAAGGGCGCGUAGGCGGCACGGCAAGUCGGGAGUGAAAGGCCUGGGCUCAACCGAGGAACGGCUUUCGAGACUGCCGAGCUAGAGUGCGGAAGGGGCAACUGGAAUUCCCAGUGUAGCGGUGAAAUGCGUAGAUAUUGGGAAGAACACCGGAGGCGAAGGCGGGUUGCUGGGCCGACACUGACGCUGAGGCGCGAAAGCCAGGGGAGCAAACGGGAUUAGAUACCCCGGUAGUCCUGGCCCUAAACGAUGGAUACUUGGUGUGUGGGGUUCUUCGAGUCCCCGCGUGCCGGAGCUAACGCGGUAAGUAUCCCGCCUGGGGAGUACGGUCGCAAGGCUGAA
rnacentral:rRNA from 1 species